rnacentral:misc_RNA from 1 species
AAGUCGUAACAAGGUUUCCGUAGGUGAACCUGCGGAAGGAUCAUUAUUGAAAUAAACCUGAUAGGUUGUUGCUGGCUUCCUAGCAUGUGCACACCUUGUCAUCUUUAUAUCUCCACCUGUGCAUCUUUUGUAGACCUUUCAGGUCUAUGUUGCUUCAUUUACCCCAAUGUAUGUUAAUAGAAUGUUGUGACUAUAUAAAAUCUAUACAACUUUCAGCAACGGAUCUCUUGGCUCUC